GGGUUGUGAGGUUAAGCGACUAAGCGUACACGGUGGAUGCCCUGGCAGUCAGAGGCGAUGAAGGACGUGCUAAUCUGCGAUAAGCGUCGGUAAGGUGAUAUGAACCGUUAUAACCGGCGAUUUCCGAAUGGGGAAACCCAGUGUGUUUCGACACACUAUCAUUAACUGAAUCCAUAGGUUAAUGAGGCGAACCGGGGGAACUGAAACAUCUAAGUACCCCGAGGAAAAGAAAUCAACCGAGAUUCCCCCAGUAGCGGCGAGCGAACGGGGAGGAGCCCAGAGCCUGAAUCAGCAUGUGUGUUAGUGGAAGCGUCUGGAAAGGCGCGCGAUACAGGGUGACAGCCCCGUACACAAAAAUGCACAUGCUGUGAGCUCGAUGAGUAGGGCGGGACACGUGGUAUCCUGUCUGAAUAUGGGGGGACCAUCCUCCAAGGCUAAAUACUCCUGACUGACCGAUAGUGAACCAGUACCGUGAGGGAAAGGCGAAAAGAACCCCGGCGAGGGGAGUGAAAAAGAACCUGAAACCGUGUACGUACAAGCAGUGGGAGCACAGAGCAAUC
rnacentral:rRNA from 1 species